UACGUAGGUGGCAAGCGUUGUCCGGAAUUACUGGGUGUAAAGGGAGCGCAGGCGGGACAGCAAGUCAGCGGUGAAAUACAUGGGCUUAACCCAUGAACUGCCGUUGAAACUGCCGUUCUUGAGUGGAUCAGAGGCAAGCGGAAUUCCGAGUGUAGCGGUGAAAUGCGUAGAUAUUCGGAGGAACACCAGUGGCGAAGGCGGCUUGCUGGGGUCGUAACUGACGCUGAGGCUCGAAAGUGUGGGGAGGCAAACAGGAUUAGAUA
rnacentral:rRNA from 1 species